CGAGAUUUUCCCGCCCAUAAUCACCCAAAUCUCUCUCUCUCUCUCUCUCUCUCUCUCUCUUUCUCUCUCUCUCUCACAGCAAAGCAAUGGCGUCUCCACCAUCUCACUCCGAUGUGCAACCUCUGCUUGCUGUGGAAGCUGAAUCUCAGCUCUCUUCUCUCAUCCGCGGUCAGAUAUGUUACAAGAAGUCAAAGGGGCAAUGGAGAACAUGCUAAAAAUGACUAAGUGAGUUCAUAAUUAGUACUAUUAAGCUUAGAAAUAUUGUUUCUUAUCACUAAUAUAGCUGAAUUUCUUCUUUUUUUUCUCCCUUACUUGAAUGCAUACAUGUCUGAGGAUUGUUGCUGCUGCUGUUCCUCUUUCAUAUCAAGUGAAUAGCUUUUCCACUACAUUUUUUGUAAUCUUCUUGCUCAGAACACUGCUAUCAUGUCUGAGGAUGAAGAGGUUGCUUUUGUACCUUUUGCAUCUUAUCACAAUUUUAGUGUUCUUUGCCAAGGACUCCGCUAAUGUGACAUAAGGAAAAAAUUUCAUUUA